UACGUAGGGUGCAAGCGUUGUCCGGAAUCAUUGGGCGUAAAGCGCGUGUAGGCGGCCAGAAAAGUCCGCUGUGAAAACUCGAGGCUCAACUUCGAGCUGUCGGUGGAAACUUUCUGGCUAGAGUCCGGAAGAGGAGAAUGGAAUUCCUGGUGUAGCGGUGAAAUGCGCAGAUAUCAGGAAGAACACCCGUGGCGAAGGCGGUUCGCUGGGACGGUACUGACGCUGAGACGCGAAAGCGUGGGGAGCAAACAGG
rnacentral:rRNA from 1 species